UACGUAGGUGGCGAGCGUUGUCCGGAUUUACUGGGCGUAAAGGGAGCGUAGGCGGACUUUUAAGUGAGAUGUGAAAUACCCGGGCUCAACUUGGGUGCUGCAUUUCAAACUGGAAGUCUAGAGUGCAGGAGAGGAGAAUGGAAUUCCUAGUGUAGCGGUGAAAUGCGUAGAGAUUAGGAAGAACACCAGUGGCGAAGGCGAUUCUCUGGACUGUAACUGACGCUCAGGCACGAAGGCGUGGGGAUCAAACAGGAUUAGAUACCCCGGUAGU
rnacentral:rRNA from 1 species